GACGUAGGGCGCGAGCGUUGUCCGGAUUUAUUGGGCGUAAAGAGCUCGUAGGCGGCUUGUCGCGUCGUCCGUGAAAACUCACAGCUCAACUGUGAGCUUGCGGUCGAUACGGGCAGGCUAGAGUUCGGUAGGGGAGACUGGAAUUCCUGGUGUAGCGGUGAAAUGCGCAGAUACCAGGAGGAACACCGGUGGCGAAGGCGGGUCUCUGGGCCGAUACUGACGCUGAGGAGCGAAAGCGUGGGGAGCGAACAGG
rnacentral:rRNA from 1 species